rnacentral:rRNA from 1 species
UACGUAGGGGCCGAGCGUUGUCCGGAAUUAUUGGGCGUAAAGCGCGCGCAGGCGGCUUGACGCGCCCGACGUGAAAGCCCCCGGCUUAACCGGGGAGGGUCGUCGGGUACGGUCAGGCUUGAGGGCGGGAGAGGGUGGUGGAAUUCCCGGUGUAGUGGUGAAAUGCGUAGAGAUCGGGAGGAACACCUGUGGCGAAGGCGGCUACCUGGGCCGACACUGACGCUGAGGCGCGAAGGCGUGGGGAGCGAACGGG